UCCCUGGUGGCUCAGUGGUAAAGAAUCUGCCUCCAAUGCAGGAGACGUGGGUUUGAUCCCUGGUCGGGGAA
rnacentral:tRNA from 1 species